rfam:Clostridium sp. CAG:710 genomic scaffold, scf28
AUAAUGAUACUCCUGCAUAACCACAGACUAAAGCAAUGGGUGCAGUUGUGUGAGAACCACACGAAGGUGAAAUUCCUGUGA